rnacentral:tRNA from 1 species
GCUCGGGUGGUGGAACGGCAGACACGCCAGACUUAGGAUCUGGUGCCGCAAGGCGUGAGGGUUCAAAUCCCUCUUCGAGCACCA